CACAUCUAAAACCUGCAGGACACCGGCCCUCGUGGACUGGGAUUGGGGACCCCUGGUUUAAGAAUUCGAUCCAAGCCCUCUGUGGGCUCGACUGAAAAGGUCUCUCAUACAUGUGCUCCGUGGGCUCAAAUUCCUCCAUUGUCCACUAAUUGCACUGGUUGACAGUUCAAUCCCCACAUGGCAAGGUGCCCUUGGGAAAGACACUGAACACCAGGUUACUCCCCAAUAGAAGAAAGCCAACAGCAACACUAGUCGCACACCAGCUCUGAGGCACCAGGACGUUGAGGCCACAAACUGUAGAAAUCCUGAGUAUGUGGCCAUGUUA